rnacentral:rRNA from 1 species
UCGCCUCCUAAAAGGUAACGGAGGCGCUCAAAGGUUCCCUCAGAAUGGUUGGAAAUCAUUCAUAGAGUGUAAAGGCAUAAGGGAGCUUGACUGCGAGACCUACAAGUCGAGCAGGGUCGAAAGACGGACUUAGUGAUCCGGUGGUUCCGCAUGGAAGGGCCAUCGCUCAACGGAUAAAAGCUACCCCGGGGAUAACAGGCUUAUCUCCCCCAAGAGUUCACAUCGACGGGGAGGUUUGGCACCUCGAUGUCGGCUCAUCGCAUCCUGGGGCUGUAGUCGGUCCCAAGGGUUGGGCUGUUCGCCCAUUAAAGCGGUACGCGAGCUGGGUUCAGAACGUCGUGAGACAGUUCGGUCCCUAUCCGUCGUGGGCGUAGGAAAUUUGAGAGGAGCUGUCCUUAGUACGAGAGGACCGGGAUGGACAUACCUCUGGUGUACCAGUUGUCGUGCCAACGGCAUAGCUGGGUAGCUAUGUGUGGACGGGAUAAGUGCUGAAAGCAUCUAAGCAUGAAGCCCCCCUCAAGAUGAGAUUUCCCAACUUCGGUUAUAAGAUCCCUCAAAGAUGAUGAGGUUAAUAGGUUCGAGGUG